rnacentral:rRNA from 1 species
GCUUGUCUCAAAGAUUAAGCCAUGCAUGUCUAAGUAUAAACAACUUUGUACUGUGAAACUGCGAAUGGCUCAUUAAAUCAGUUAUAGUUUAUUUGAUGGUGCUUACUACAUGGAUAACCGUGGUAAUUCUAGAGCUAAUACAUGCGCAAAAGACCCGACUGUUUGGGAGGGUUGUAUUUAUUAGAUCAAAACCAAACGGCUUCGGCCGUCUCAUUGGUGACUCUGAAUAACUUUGGGCUGAUCGUAUGGCCUUGUGCCGACGACGUUUCCUUCGAAGGUGUGCCCUAUCAACUGUCGACUGUGAUAUAGACGCUCACAGUGGUUUUGACGGGUAACGGGGAAUCAGGGUUCGAUUCCGGAGAGGGAGCCUUAAAAACGGCUACCACAUCCAAGGAAGGCAGCAGG